rnacentral:rRNA from 1 species
GAUGAACGCUGGCGGCGUGCCUAAUACAUGCAAGUCGAGCGGAUGGAUUAAGAGCUUGCUCUUAUGAAGUUAGCGGCGGACGGGUGAGUAACACGUGGGUAACCUGCCCAUAAGACUGGGAUAACUCCGGGAAACCGGGGCUAAUACCGGAAAACAUUUUGAACUGCAUGGUUCGAAAUUGAAAGGCGGCUUCGGCUGUCAAGUAUGGAUGGACCCGCGUCGCAUUAACUAGUUGGGGAGGUAACGGCUCACAAAGGUAACGAUGCGUAGUCGACCUGAGAGGGUGAGCGGCCACACUGGGACUGAGACACGGCCCAGACUCCUACGGGAGGCAGCAGUAGGGAAUCUUCCGCAAUGGACGAAAGUCUGACGGAGCAACGCCGCGUGAGUGAUGAAGGCUUUCGGGUCGUAAAACUCUGUUGUUAGGGAAGAACAAGUGCUAGUUGAAUAAGCUGGCACCUUGACGGUACCUAACCAGAAAGCCACGGCUAACUACGUGCCAGCCGCCGCGGUAA